UUCUUGCACACUGCCUACUGGGGAUUGAGCCUGCAACCCAGGCAUGUGCCCUGACCUCCUGGUUUAUUGGUCGACGUUUAACCAGACACAAAGGCCAGGCUGGGCAAUAUUUUUUAAAAUUUGAAUACACAACUCCACUCCUACAAAUGUAAUCUAAAGAACAGAUUUUAUCAAUAACAAAUUGAAUAAGACUUAUCACAGCAUUGAUUAAACCAGAAGGGCCUGUUAGUAGGAACUUGGCUAAAUCAUCUAUACAAAUCCAUUACCCCUAUUUCAUUAUGCUCUGAAUAAGAAAAAUGCUAACUAAACUAAAAUGCCUCAAUUUCUAUGGUGCACGAGCCCCUAACCCUCUGAAAUUGGAAUGGAUCUUAGAAUUGAAAAGCAUACUAUGCAAUCUUUCAAAAAGUUUAACAAUAUUUGACAUAGAAAUGGUCAGCUGCAAAAAAAUGAACAGAAGGAUCACAUCAUCUUUAUAAAUCAAUGCAAAAGUUUUUGAAAUAUACACAAAAAUGGUAAUAAUGGUUUCUAGCCAUAGGUUUUUAAAUUACACUUCUGCAUUCUUUUCAUUAAAUACUUACUCUGGUAAUUGGAUAGUCAACUAAAUAUAACCAAUCUUCCCCCCCAAAGACCUGACACAAGGGGUCGAGACACUACCAACCACUUUCUUUAUGAUCCAUCUCUCUUUCAUCCUCCACCUGACACCUUCACUGACCUUUAACUCGCCUGUCAGUUGGUAGAAAAUUCAUUAUGACACCCUAGGUGAGAGUGGGGAUUGGGGAUGUUAAGGUAAUAACUGAAGCAAUGCAUCUUUGAAAUACAAAGUUUAUAUAACAAGCCAAAUAUUGCCAAAUUCCCACUCAACAUAUAACACAGUAUAUUCGUUCCUUGGUAUCCUCCGUGGUUUGGUUCAGGACCACCCCUGCUCAGAUACCAACAUUGUUGAAUGCUCAAGUCCCUUGUACAAUGUCAGCAACAAUGUAUUUUUUUUUUGAAUACUUUUAAUCCUCAGUUGAAUCUGUGGAUCUGGAACCAUGGAUAGAGGGGAUCAUAUUCAGUACAUGCUGUUUUUAAGGUAUGUAACUCAGUUCUCACCAUGGCUGGUUUAAGGUAGACCACUAUACAGAAAAAGAAACUGAAAUACAAUUAGCGAAAGUCACACUAGUACCUAAUACAGGACAGUCUAGUUUCAGGGCAUAACUUUCAGCUAUACAGUUCUUCCUAUGCAAAUGACUGCUCUACAAACUUACAUCAAUUGGGGUUAAAACUGAUGCCAUCUUUGGAGCUGUUUUACUAAAUAACCAAAACCUGGCAUUUCCAUACUUCUAAAGUCCUAGAUCACUCUUGGUUCCUAAGAAAUCUACCUUAAAAACAAAACCACACAGGUAAAUUUUUAAGUUGACAAAUCUGGUACUACUGAAUUUGUUAAUUUAUCUACCCAGCUAAUCUAAAUCCUACAAGGCACAGGUAGGCAAAGAAAGGAGAGAACACUCCCAAGAAAAUCCAUUUAUAUUAAGAAAAUUAUAAAUGGAAAUUUCAAGCUAUAAAUAUCAUUAAGCCUUUUAAAUAGAAAUGUAACUAGAGAAAUUGUGCUCUUUAGUUAUAAUAGCUAUAACCCCACUGAUUUGCCUACUGCUUUUUUCCCAACACGAAGGCUAUUAUUUCCUAAGCAAAAAGGAAUUAGGACUACAUAACUCAAUUUUUGUUGCUGGUAUUAAAACAUAAAUGCCUGUCCUUUACGCUAUGGUAACUGGCUGCACAUGUUGUUAGUGGUCAUUUACUUACAAGUGGUUAAGUAGGUUCUGCUGAAAUUUCAGUAACAUCUCUAAGAAAUAUACAAACGCAUUAUGUGCUACAAUGGGGUCCCUUUAAGUCAAUUGGGGCCACUUUUCAAAUUCCACAACUUCAAGGUAUUCCAUAAAACCCUGGCCUUGUCUAGGCAAGAGACUGUAGGCAGAUUCAAAAUAGCUUUUCCUUCCUUGCCAAUUUCAGACAUUUUACUACCUAUAGGUAAUAGGAGCCAAGGAAAUACUGUAAAAGCUGUUAUAAGAUUCUCAGAGAAUAAGCUAUACUGAAAGGCCCUAAAUUACCACUGGACAGGCAGGCCCACCCACAAACAAGAAAUUUCCACUAUAUUCAAAAGCUGCAAAAACAUUAAAAAAAAUUUGUUCCUUUACUAAAGAAAAAUCACAAUUCACUUGCUAAAAUGGCUUAUACAUCUCCCUGCAGAGUAGGUGAGAAUGUGGCCUGUGUUAACCUGAGGAUAGUUUCUUGUGCUGUACCAAGUCCAAAAGGCCCCCAUACCCAGCCUUCACCAGUCAAAAAAUCCCUCAAGGUGAAAACAGGACACUGCAGAAUUUCAUUUAAAACAAAAAUCUCACUUUAUUCCAUCACAAAGGGAGUAAAAGACCAUUUGCCUUCUUUUCUUAGCACUGUAGAAAAUAAAAUCUUCUUUCCUGCGGUUCUUCUUCUCAUACUUGUGCUACAGCACCACAAGAUUCCUUUGCAUUCCUAUAUACACUUCCUUUAGUUUACCCUCUCCUAUGACAGGGUAGCUUUCAUUGCAAUUGAGUUGUUUUUUUAAAACACCCACUUUAAAGUGUAAUAACUUAGUAGCAAAAGUGAUGAUCUUGGAAAAAAAGGGGGGUGCACAUUAAUGCUCUCCUAUAAUCUGGAGGUGCUAGUUAUGUUCCUCAACAGUACAGUAUUUUCACUUAGCAUUCAUUACACAGCAUGCUUCAGUCAGCAUGACUUCCAAUUCUACCUUUUGGCAAAAGGCAGGGAGGUCAGUCCAAUUGUUAAAAACUGAUAUACUGGAUUUUGUUGAGAAACAGUGACAAAGUGCCACUCAAUCUUCAAAGAAUACUGUAAUGAACAAAAUAUAGUGGUCUGUAGUAUACACUAUACCUGCUAGGUAUGUGAUUUUUCUAUGCUAGUGACCAAUGAACAUGUCUUAAAAGUAGCUUUAGCCAAUCCAGUCUUCCCAAGCACUCCUCAGAAACUCCUAACUAUAGCACCUAAGUGAAGCCUUGUAUAUGUAAGGUUUGUAUACACAAGACCAAGUCAAAACCAAAUUAUUUGUAGUUUGUAGGAAAGGUUCUUCCUUUUUUACUGAGGAAAAAAACAGUGGAAGCUUCAUUGGAAAUUCAGAAUUUCCAGGGAGAAGACAAACCAACUAUCUUUGAAAAGCUAUCUGCCGGUGUUUAGUUCAAUUCAUUAAUUAUUAAAUCCUAAACAUUUUCAGGCAUAAAAUUGGAAGGGGUAGAGGGGAAUCUACCAACUUCUCUGAUGUGUUCAUCAAUUUCCAAAACAGCCCCUGGCAGUCUAAGCACAAAAUGUCCAAAUGUGCUGGCCUAUUAUUGUCAGAGUGUGGUUGCCAAACAAAGCAACAUUUCACCAUGGAUUAUUACACCCAAGGCGUGAAACAAGCAAUUC